rnacentral:rRNA from 1 species
AGAGUUUGAUCAUGGCUCAGAACGUACGCUGGCGGCACGCCUAACACAUGCAAGUCGAACGCAGUAGCAAUACUGAGUGGCAAACGGGUGAGUAUAAUGUGGGAAUCUGCCUUUUGGUUCGGAAUAACACGGGGAAACUUGUGCUAAUACCGGAUAAGCCCUUACGGGGAAAGUUUUAACGCCGAAAGAUGAGCCCGCACUUGAUUAGCUAGUUGGUAAGGUAAAAGCUUACCAAGGCAACGAUCAAUAGCUGUUCUUAGAGGAAGACCAGCCACAUUGGGACUGAGACACGGCCCAGACUCCUACGGGAGGCAGCAGUGGGGAAUCUUGCACAAUGGGGGAAACCCUGAUGCAGCGAUGCCGCGUGAGUGAAGAAGGCCUUUGGGUUGUAAAACUCUUUCGUCGGGGAAGAAAAUGACUGUACCCGAAUAAGAAGGUCCGGCUAACUUCGUGCCAGCAGCCGCGGUAAUACGAAGGGACCUAGCGUAGUUCGGAAUUACUGGGCUUAAAGAGCUCGUAGGUGGUUAAAAAAGUUGAUGGUGAAAUCCCAAGGCUCAACCUUGGAACUGCCAUCAAAACUUUUUAGCUAGAGUGUGAUAGAGGUAAGUGGAAUUUCUAGUGUAGAGGUGAAAUUCGUAGAUAUUAGAAAGAACACCAAAUGCGAAGGCAACUUACUGGGUCACUACUGACACUGAGGAGCGAAAGCAUGGGUAGCAAAGAGGAUUAGAUACCCUCGUAGUCCAUGCCGUAAACGAUGUGUGCUAGACGUUGGAAAUAUAUUUUUCAGUGUCGCAGCGAAAGCAUUAAGCACACCGCCUGGGGAGUACGACCGCAAGGGUUAAAACUCAAAUGAAUUGACGGGGACUCGCACAAGCAGUGGAGCAUGUGGU